rnacentral:rRNA from 1 species
AACGAACGCUGGCGGCAUGCCUAACACAUGCAAGUCGAACGGGAUCCAGCCUUCGGGUUGGUGAGAGUGGCGGACGGGUGAGUAACGCGUGGGAACCUGCCCAUUGGUCUGGGAUAACUGCGGGAAACUGCAGCUAAAUACCGGAUGUACCCGAGAGGGGAAAGAUUUAUCGCCGAUGGAGGGCCCGCGUCAGAUUAGGUAGUUGGUGAGGUAACGGCUCACCAAGCCUACGAUCUGUAGCUGGUCUGAGAGGAUGAUCAGCCACACUGGGACUGAGAUACGGCCCAGACUCCUACGGGAGGCAGCAGUGGGGAAUAUUGGACAAUGGGGGCAACCCUGAUCCAGCCAAUGCCGCGUGAGUGAUGAAGGCC